ACGUGAGGGGUACAGUGCUUUUAUGAGCUAAUGGAAGCAGAGACGAGGAGAGUGUCCGAAUCCAUUUGGCUACAUUUCGGGAAAUGGUGGCUAAAUGAAUAGUGUCUAGAGCUGGUGUGUUCUUAGCUCUUCCGUGUGAGUGUUCUAAAGGAGCAGGCCAUUGGUCCCGAAGGAGCGAGCGUUCCUUCUACUUCCCUGUCUCCUGCUCCGCUGAAGCUGAGGACUCUGAUGUGUUGAUUGAUUAUAGCCGUUAAGCCUAGUACUAAUCAGUUUCAUCAGUUACUCUCAUUCACACACGUGCACCUUUGAUUUCUCUUCCACGACGGGAUGAUGUGGGUUGUCAUUGACUAAUGAAGAGCAGAAUUGAUUUCGGCACGAGACAAACGGAAUGCCGACACCAAUCCUGAAAGGCAUUAAUCUUUAAUAAUUCACAUCUGCAUGUUUAUAAAUGGUAUACCCGGGGAUUGUUAGUGUUGACAUUCUCUCUUCCAAACAGAAAGUGACACCAGGAUUUGUACUUGCAAACUGCUUUAAAUGCACAUUGCAGAAUGCCAGGGUGUGACCUUGUGAAGGCUGCCAGUACAGUGCUGCAUGGGGGCUUCUGUUGCACUUCAGAUGCUGCUGCUUCAGGUGUGUCCUGUGCCAGGCCCGGCAGCCCGGCUGCCCACGGCCUCCCUGCCUUCCUUUAUCACCACUUGCCUCAUUCAUUCCACAGAGCAGACUGUGGACAUGUUUCUAGGACCAUAGGGAAGUGCACUGGGCCUGCACGCGGAGAGUAUGGGAAAAACAUGAAGUUCAUGAAUAAGUGUGCUCUUGGUCUGGGGGACAUUUUGACAGUUAACCAUUCAGACUGGAGUUCAGAUCCCCAGACCCAGAUACGGGGGAUCUUCAGAGCAAGCUAGCUAUAGACUUUGAUUGGAAGGCCCUACCUCAAUCAAUAAAGCAGGCACAUUAUAAUUAUUUUGUUACAUUAUUAUUGGUGAUCCUUUACUAUGCCUAAUAAAUAGGAAACUUUACCAGAGACAUUUAUGUAUGUAAAAAAAUAUAGUUAAUAUAUAAGGUUCAGUGUCCUCUUCAGAUAUUAGGGAAGGGUGGUCGCAGUGGGCACACAGGGUUGUGUGGAGGAGGAGGGGUGAAGAAAUUAGAGAGCAGUGUCUGUGCUUAGAAGAGGAAGGGGCACAGCGGAGGUGGAAGGGAAGCGUUUGGGCUGACCCUGUUUCUGUGACCCUCCUUAGUAAUUCUGCCUAACCAUUCAGAGGGAGGGUUUGUUUUGGUUGAUUUGUUUAUUUUAGCCAAGUUAGGUGUGAAAGUUUGGAUACUGGGGCUGCAUUUCAGUGCAGAUGUGAGAGAGAACUCUGGGUUUGAAGCUAGAGGUGUCUAGCCUUCUGAGCAUUCCAGGGGCAGCAUGGAUUGCUGGCCCCACCCUCACUUAGGAGGUAGUGGCUCUGGCUACCCCGAGCCUCCAGUCAGCCAGUGUGCUGUCCUCACUGUCCCUCAUGAGGGCCAUUGCUUGUGUCUAGGUGACUGUUAGUUAGUCAUCACUGAGAAGCAUGGGGUAGAGAACCACCCCAGGCAGUCUUUGUAGUUGCCAGGUUUGUAUUUGGUUUCCUGGCCUUUCUAGAGCUAGGUUAUGAACUCUGUUGGUAGUGCUGCCACAGUGAAAAAAAUACAAGAGGAGUUACAAUCUCAGGCCUGAGGUCACUGGUGCUGUCCCCAUCUUCACGACCAUCACCGUGAAUCCAUUACACACACACACACACACACACACACACACACACACACACACACACACGAUUAUGACAAGUUCUUUUGAUUUUUUUUUUUAAACACAAAACUGUCAUUUGUAGAGAGCUGCACCUCAGUCCUCAGCGUGUUGCUCUGUCUUGUCCCCUCCUCUCCUAUGUUUUUUCCCUUAGAGACAGUCAUGGAACAGAUUUGCAUUCCUGUAGUAUUAUGACUCUGGGCAAGCCCUUUGCCCACACAGCUGAAGUCAACUACCCUGUGCUUACUCUAUAUUAUCCAUCCUACCCCUCAAGGUCCAACUGAGUCCUUUUCUUGUUAAGUGCAGCUUCCCGUUACAUCAAGGGUGGAGAACCGUGCCUGGCCAGGAGAGGGCGCCCAGUAGAUGUUGACCAAGUGCAAGCAUGCCAAUUCUGAAAGGGGACAAAGAAAAAGAAAAAGAAAGAAAAGGAAAAAGAAAAAGGAGUCUAAGAAAAGACAACUCUGAGGUUAUUCCAGGACUAGCUUUCAUCCUGAGCUGUGGCUUGGUGGGUUGUCUCUCACUGGCCUUUUCCUCCCCUCCUCAGAGAGACUCAAAGGGGAUAGAUCAGUCUGUUAUCUUUGUGCUUAAGAACAGCACCUAAAACCAUAGUUCUCAACUUGUAGAUCUAAGCCAAGUCUUUGAGUCUGAAGGCCUCUGCCUGGUUCUGAGCCUUCACAGAGAUGCAUUAGCAUUCAUAGCACAAUAGUAGCUGCUGACUGAAUCCCUAUCUCGACAACGGGUAAUUAAUACGCUCUAGAUAUUUGAAAAGUGUGCUUGAUAACUACCUAGCUAAAAUCUAAAGUAAGCCUGGUGCGUAUGUGAAGCUGUGGCUCAGAAUGUGGCUCCUCCCCUCUGUGUCCUAGUGGUCUCUGUCAUGCAACCUCCAGUUGUCCCAGAGGCUCCAGGUAACCUGGACACAAGUUCUGAAGAGCUGUGUGCACAAGAGCACAGUGCUUGUUCCACACCCCGCCGUGCUAGGUGGAACUGGACUGAGCCAGCUCAGCACUCGUAGAACCACCACACACACACACACACACACACACACACACACACACACUCACACACACACACACACACACACACACACACACACUCACACACACACACACACACACACUCUGAACUGAGCCAGCUUGCCCCCCACAACGUCCCCCUCACUGGACUGGACUGGUUCAGGGUUUAGCUGCACACUGCCCUAGGUUUCACUGUGCAUCCUUCUCUUCAAAAGCCAUUGACUGAAGCACUGCAUGCAUAUAUGUGACACUGAAUGGAGACCUCACUCAGAUGUUAUUACAUCUAAAUGUGAGCAGUGGUGGUAGGUAGACCCCCAGGUCUUGGGGAUUUCGGCCUUGCUGGUGAGUUUCCCAGAGCAGUACAGCGCGUUAGCUUUUACUUUUCAGAGGUUUUGGAGCUGGGAUGUAGGUUGGUGUCUUCUUGGAAGGUGUAAGCCCUGGGUUCAGUUUCUGGCACCACACAAGCAAAGCGUGAGAGCGCAUGCUUGAAGACCCAGCCCUUGGGAUUAAACCUCAGCUCCAUGGGAAGGUGAAGGCCAGCCUGGACCACAUGAGACCCUGC
rnacentral:lncRNA from 1 species